GAAUUCAGUGGCGCUUCAGUCUCCUUGUUCAGGAUGUGCUGAUGAACACAGUGGGAGGUGUGAAUCAAGGGCAGCCAGAAGAAGAGGUGAAAUAGACCAAAGUCAUUUAAAAGUCUUUGCAGAGACAACGUAACGAUGAUGUGAGAAGAAAGAAGAUCCCUGCCUACCACACUGCACUUAUCAUCUGUCAAAAUGGGGCCAACUGAAGAUGUUAUAUUCCAGGAGCAAUGAGCAUAGGCACUUGAGAGUUCCAGCCUGAGAUGUGCAAAAUGCUUCUAAUGAAGCUCCAAACCAUGUGAAAACAGAGUGACAAGAUCUUCUGUGUAGCAGAGAGGGGGUCCUGCUUCAAGCAGAAGAAAAAGAGCGGAGGGCAUC